rnacentral:rRNA from 1 species
UGAAUACGAGAUGCUACGGCGUCGAAGCAGUCUAUGUCAUACUUCCAAGAAAAGCUUGCACUGUCAUAAACAAAUAAUGCCUGUACCAUAACCGACACAGGUGGGUAGGUAGAGUAUACUAAGGGGCGCGAGAUAACUCUCUCUAAGGAACUCGGCAAAAUGACUCCGUAACUUCGGGAGAAGGAGUGCCUUAUUUAUAAGGUUGCAAUAACAAGACCCAAGCAACUGUUUAUCAAAAACACAGGUCUCCGCUAAGUCGUAAGACGAUGUAUGGGGGCUGACGCCUGCCCAGUGCCAGAAGGUUAAAGAAGUCGGUUAGCAUUAGCGAAGCUGAUGACUGAAGCCCUGGUGAACGGCGGCCGUAACAAUAACGGUCCUAAGGUAGCGAAAUUCCUUGUCGGGUAAGUUCCGACCCGCACGAAAGGCGUAAUGAUUUGGGUACUGUCUCAGAGAGGGACUCGGUGAAAUAGACUUGUCUGUGAAGAUGCGGACUACCUGCACCUGGACAGAAAGACCCUAUGAAGCUUUACUGUAACCUGAAAUUGAAAUUGGACUUUAUUUGCGCAGUAUAGGUGGGAGGCUUUGAAGAUAUUCUUGCGGGAAUGUUGGAGCCAUCAGUGAGAUACCACUCUUGUAAUGUUAGAUUUCUAACUUUGUAUCAUUAUCUGGUCAAAGAACAGUUUCAGGCGGGCAGUUUGACUGGGACGGUCGCCUCCUAAACGGUAACGGAGGCGCACAAAGGUUUCCUCUGAACGGGUAGAAAUCGUAUCUAGAGUGUAAAGGCAUAAGGAAGCUUGACUGUGAGACCUACAAGUCGAGCAGGGACGAAAGUCGGUCUUAGUGAUCUGACGGUGCUGAGUGGAAAGGCCGUCACUCAACGGAUAAAAGUUACUCUAGGGAUAACAGCCUGAUCUCCCCCAGGAGUUCACAUCGACGGGGAGGUUUGGCACCUCGAUGUCGGCUCAUCGCAUCCUGGGGCGGUAGUACGUCCCAAGGGUUGGGCUGUUCGCCCAUGAAAGCGGUACGCGAGCUGGGUUCAGAACGUCGUGAGACAGUUCGGUCCAUAUCCGGUGUAGGCGUUAGAAUAUUGAGAGGAGCCUUCUCUAGUACGAGAGGACCGAGAAGGACACACCUCUGGUGUACCAGUUAUCGUGCCAACGGUAAACGCUGGGUAGCUAUGUGUGGAGCGGAUAACCGCUGAAAGCAUCUAAGUGGGAAGCCCACCUCAAGAUAAGUAUUCUCAUC